rnacentral:lncRNA from 1 species
CGAAAAUCAGCCUGAUUUGGUUGCUGGACUCGUUAAGAUACCACGAUGCCUUAACCCUUUAAAUAAAUACUGGGGGAUUUCUAGGGUUUGCCCUAAAGGAAGAGUAAUCACAAUUAAAACAUCAGGUUUGCGAUGGCAAUAUCUGAAUUGUGGCCCAGCACUUCAAACAAGGCAGGCCAUAUAUAACGAGGUUUACAUCAUUGUAUUAUGCUCAAAUGUCACAUUUUCCUACGGAGUUGGGGGAAUUGAUGAUUGAUUUUAUAAUCAAAGACUUUUAAGGAUAGAUUUUUAAUUCUUUUUGGAAUUUUCUAUUUUAUUGAGCUUGGUAGAGUUGCCAUUUUAGAAAUAUUGUUACCAG